rnacentral:rRNA from 1 species
UGGGGGAUAUUGCACAAUGGGCGAAAGCCUGAUGCAGCGACGCCGCGUGGGGGAUGAAGGCCUUCGGGUUGUAAACUUCUUUUGCUCUGAACAAGGCGCACCAUGGGGUGUGUUGAGUGUAGGGGUUGAUUAGCGCCGGCUAACUACGUGCCAGCAGCCGCGGUAAUACGUAGGGCGCGAGCGUUGUCCGGAAUUAUUGGGCGUAAAGGGCUUGUAGGUGGCUGGUUGCGUCUGUCGUGAAAGCUCAUGGCUUAACUGUGGGUUUGCGGUGGGUACGGGCUGGUUUGAGUGCAGUAGGGGAGGCUGGAAUUCCUGGUGUAGCGGUGGAAUGCGCAGAUAUCAGGAGGAAUACCGGUGGCGAAGGCGGGUCUCUGGGCUGUUACUGACACUGAGGAGCGAAAGCAUGGGGAGCGAACAGG